rnacentral:rRNA from 1 species
UGGGGAAUCUUGCACAAUGGGGGAAACCCUGAUGCAGCGACGCCGCGUGAACGAUGAAGCCCUUCGGGGUGUAAAGUUCUUUCGACGGGGACGAUAAUGACGGUACCCGGAGAAGAAGCUGCGGCUAACUACGUGCCAGCAGCCGCGGUAAUACGUAGGCAGCAAGCGCUGUUCGGAAUUACUGGGCGUAAAGAGUGCGUAGGUGGUUGGCCAAGUUUGGUGUGAAAUCUCCCGGCUUAACUGGGAGGGUGCGCCGAAAACUGGUUGACUAGAGUGUGGGAGAGGGACGUGGAAUUCCUGGUGUAGCGGUGAAAUGCGUAGAUAUCAGGAGGAACACCUGCGGUGUAGACGGCGUCCUGGACCAUGACUGACACUGAGGCACGAAAGCGUGGGGAGCAAACA